rnacentral:lncRNA from 1 species
AACGACGAAGGAGCGGAGAAGCCCAUAGCCGGCACGACGGCAUACAGCACAUGACACUGCCCAGAUGACUCUGAACACUGCAGCAUAAAAAACUAAUCCAUGCAAGCUAAAUCUCCACAUUUAGGUCAAUGUAGAGGCUUAGUAUAAUAAUUCUCGGAUCCUGCGAGGAAUCGGAGUUCGAUACGGAGGUUUAAGAUCCGUCCAUCUUGCGGUUUUGGCCGUACCUCGAUUAAUUUACUGAGCAAUCAAGAGGCUGGAUUAACAAAAGGUUGUAAGAUUAAUUUAUCUAAUGUCAGUUCAGCUGCAACCACUACUGUAUCUCAAGAACAGUGACAGGUUUCAGCACCUGUAUUUUUAUGCCCUUGCUGUAACAACUAGCAGUACAAAAUUUGGGUUUCUGACAAGCAAUUGGUUUUCAGGCAGAGGCCAGGGGAUAUUUUUUUGAUUUUUUGGCUUGACAGGAGCUUUUGCAGAAGUGUUUUUUUGAUAUGAUCUGAAGAAGUCAAAAGCAGCAGUUAUUCAUUGAAAUUCUGUCAACAAAUUUUCGAUGCAUUCAAAGUAGAAGUUUUAAACCAGUAGCAUGGUUAAUGUGGGGAAGAUAAUAUAUCCAAUAAUAACUAAUUCAAUAUGAAUAUUUUUUUUCUGUGAUUGAAAAUAAGAAGUUUGAUUUUUAUCCUAUAAAAGACCUUGAUUUAAUAGGAUAGUAUAUCUCAUCUUUCAUUUAUCUCUUUCAUUUAUUCUUUUUAGAUAUAAACUUAGUUAAAAAUAUAAAGCAAUUAUGCUCCGAACUUAGGACCUCGGUUACUAACUAUCAAACUUUUUACCGCACGCGUUAGGGAUCGUUAACUACUCCGUUUAAGGCACCUCAUAGUUAGACCUGACAAUCUCUAACCGUACUCGUGGAUACCAGCGGGUUACCCACAAAUUUACAGGUAUAAGUAUUAAUUUUUCUUAUCCAAAAAAAAAGGGUAAAACGGAUAGGUACUGUUAAGUUCUAGGCAUUUUGGAUAAACCACGGGCACCCGCAUUUUUUUUUAAUUAAAAAUUAUAUAAUCUUUAUGAUAUUAACUCUAUAAUCAUGAAAAGUUUAUUAAUUUUCUAUCAUAAAAAUUUGAGAUGAUAAGAUACUUUUAUAUUAUGUAAUUUAUGCGCUUUAAUAUUUUAUAUUUUUUAUUGUAUAUUAUGAUAUUUUAAUAACAAGUUUUGUCAUAUUUUUAAAAAAUAUAUCUAUGUAUUUUGUAUUUGAAAAAUAUAGGAGCAAAAAACAAAAACAAAAACACUUAUGGUUACCAUACCCAGCAUCUGAACGGAUAUGGAUAAAGAUGUUGAUUACUUAAAAAUUUAUGAGUAAUUUUAUUUAUGUCCAUAUAACCCGCAGGUAUAAUGAUCUGCCCGUGUGUUACCCAAUCUACUCGUUUAUCAGGUCUACUCAUCACACCCCUCAUUCCUCAAGUAUUACAUGAUUUUAGAGUUUACCGAAAAAAAUGCCAAAUAAGAUAUUUUUACAUCCAAAUGGGACUGCAAUUAACAACUAAGAGUUUUUUUUUUUUUUUGGAAAUGAUGUUCAUAAUGGAGAUUCAGAGAUAACAACUAAGGGGGCUGUUUAGUUACUCGAAAAAAAUAUGAAAAAAAAAAUUUCUAGGAAAAAUGUUUUCUAUGAAACUCUCUUUUCAGUUUUUCCAUGUGUUUGAUUCCGAGUUAAACUAUUUUUUUAUAUAAAGAUUUUUUUUUCAAAUUUUAUGAGAAAAUAGUGUUUUCGUUUCCUUUAAAAAAAAACGGUAGAACAAAAAACUAAUUUUCAAUAAAAUUUGUAAAAAAAAACUUUCGAAAAUAGUUUUUUUUUUUUUUUGAACCAAGAGGCCAGAAAACAUAAAAAAGAAUUUUCUCUGAAAAAUUUUAUUUUUUCAUACUUUUUCAAAAAAAGCAAAGAGUCUCAAAUUUUUUUCUUACUUUUUCAAGCAACUAAACAGUCUUAAAUUUUUUUCAUACUUUUUUAAGAAACCAAACAGUCAAAUUUUUUUUCAUAUUUUUUUGAAAAAACCAAACAGUCUCAAAUUUUUCUUCAUACUUUUUCAAGCAACCAAACAGUCUCUCUCUGAGGACGUAAAAAAGAAAAAAAAAAAAAAAAAGGGAAAAAAGAGGGAAGGAUGUGGAUCAAAUGCAUGAUCAUGCAAAAGAAAACAGGAGAAUACAAACAAAGAAGAAGACAACAUUCCAACCUGGGCUCAGUGCUUGGACUUCUCUAGCAAACAAAAAUUCAGGGCGAGAGAGAUCGAGACAUCAACAGUUCAACACCCACCCUAUCAGGUUGAGAAAGAAAGAGCACAUGAAGGUUCAAAUGAUUAUUGUUUUCUUUUGUUUCACGUGGAUCCAUAAUCCUUAAAUUUUGACACAUUGUGGACUCCAAAGAUUAAUAAUUGCUUCAUUUGUUGUUGACUUUGCCAGAUGGAUCCAUACAUUGUAUUUCCAUGCAGUUCAGAUUGUGUCCAAACAAAUUGAGAUAGAUCCCUAACUAUUUUGUCCUUGUCCUUCUCGCCGCUUCGUUUAAAGCCAGUAAUUAAAUAUAGGUAAAGUACAUGCAAAACCUGCCUGAAUUAUGAAUUACUUUGCGUCGGCUAUAUAUAUAAUCUCUUAAAAUUUAAUUUUACGACCUAACUUUUCAAUUUGUUUGAUUUGAGUCGGUCAACGAUAUUUCAACUUUAAAAUUUAAGCUAAUUAUAGUUGCGAAAAUUAUAUGAAGUAUACUUACUAAACAUGUAAAGAUAAAUGAUACAUUCAAAUAUUAUAGACAAACUGUUAUUGACUGACUCAAAUUAAACAAAUUGAAAAAAUAAGCAGGAAUAUCAAAAGUUAAGGAAGAGUUCGAUUAUUGGCUUAAAACGGUUCAUAGUUCAGGUAAAUUCUAUAUAUUUUUAUUUCAAAAAUAUUAUGGAAGAAAACGAAGUUGAUUUACCAAUGAAAAGCGGUAGAGCUUGAUUGCUUGAUCUCGCCACUUCGAUUGAGCGUUGUUGUUGUUGAUCAUGAUAAAUACAAAAUAAUUUACGAAAAUAUAGUGUGUUUUUGACCCCUACUUUAGUGAUAUGUUUGUAAGUUUUCAAAUUUUAUAAGAAUAUAUAAGAUAUUUUAGUGUUUUGAAGUGUAAAUAUACAAUAUCCCCACUUUAUGGAUUUUUAGUUUUAUUCAAUUUUCUUUUAUAAAUUUAUUUCCACAUUUAAUUUAUCAAAAUCUCUCAGAGUUCAAACUUGAACGAGACUAUUAAUGAUAAAAUAUUAAAACAAUUUUCUCUACUCGGUCACAAUUAAAGUAAGCUAGAAAAGUCAAUCUAUAUUAUAAAAUAGGGUUAAUUUCAUACAGGACUCCGUAGAGUCCUGUAAAUAUAAUAAAUGACAAAUAUAUUCCUACAAAGUUCAAAUUUCAUAUAUCGUCCUUACAAAAUUUUGAUGUUUUCAAAUAUAAUUCCUGCCAUUAGAAUUCGUUAGAAAAAUUAAGUUAACCAUAAGUUAAAUACUUAACCCUAGUUAGUUUUGACAUUUUUAGCUCUCUUAUGUUAUACUGUUAUAAUUUUUUGAGGGGCAUAUUUGUGAUAGCAAAACUAAAAAUAUAAACAGUUUUAACAGCAACAAAUCAGAUAAAUAUAUUUUAAAAUAUUUGAACUUUUAUAGAAAUAAUAUAUAAAAAUUAAAUUUUGUAGGAAUAUAUUUAUUUACCAUUUAUUAUAUUUAAAAUGACCUGUAUGAAAUUAAUCCUAUAAAUUAUAUCAAUCAUCGAGCUCAAAUUGUUACAAAAGUGUCGGUGGAUAUAACAAAAAAGGGUUUUUUUUUUUUUUUUUAUAAAAAAAAAAGAGAAGGGUUUGUUAAACAUAGCAAGUGGCACAGGAUGAUCCAAAUGCUGAAUAGUGCACGAUGGACUAAUCACUGUGCGUAAAAAUCAAUCAUCUCCUCAUUCUCUUCAUGAUUAAGUCAAUCAAAAUGCAUGAUAAAGAGGUACGAAUCUUAGUACGAUUUGUUCACUUCACCAAACAAGAGUAUUAAUAGGAUUUUUCGAGAAGCAUCAACCCACGCGAUCAUGGAGAGAAAAGGAUUUUUUUUUUUGUUUUUUUUGGGGUUUUCACUUGAGGGGAUGUACCCGGUUGUUUCCAUGGUGGAUGGAUAUUGUUGUUCCACCAAAAAAACAAAAAAUAUAUUUAUAAUUCCAUAUAUUUCAAUUUUAAUUUUUUUUUAGUCUAAUAACGUUAAAUGACUCUGAAUAAUACAACAGAUGCCUUCUAUAUCAUGACAAAUAAGCGUAAACAAAUUAUUGAGGCUAACUGCUUUUAUAUUUUGUAUUUUAAAAACUCAUUAUUUACGAAAUAAAUAAAAAUUAUACUAUAAUUGAAUUAUUGCAAUAUGCUCAACUAUUAUUUUCCUACGAAAACAGAAGUAAUAUAUUCCUAUUGCACUAACUCAUCGUCCCCAAAGUUACAAAUAGAGAUUUUUUUAGAAUUAAUUGUAUACCUCACUAUAGAGUGUAUCAAUAGUAUUUUCUCUUGGAAUUAAUUGCACCUUUUAUUUACCUAAUUUUUUAUUUUGAUUCCCAACUUUUUACUUUUUGUUGAGUAAUCCUUAACCAUUAGAUUAAUUGCACUAGUGGUUUCUAAUCUUUUCAAAGCUUUUCACUUUGGUCCCCUACCUCUUCUAUCACUUGCACGCCAUUGUAUCAAGCUUAAUUUCAUUAUCCUCUAUAUUUUUCUAUGCAUCUAUGACCAUCUCGGCUUUACACAUGAUACCUACUGGCUGGCUCUGUUGAAGUAUUUGGCAUUCUUAACAUCGAGCUGGAAAUGCUAUCUAACUCUUUCGAAACUAGAGAAAUUAGUACUGAAUUGAUUGAGAGCUACGAUUGUGAUCUAUAAAAGUAGGCGAAGCUUUAUAAGUAAUGUUAUAUUUACAAACAAAUUUUAUAAUAUAAUACUUUACAAACUAGCAUAUACAGCGGUAUUUUUUAAUAAAAAUGCAAAUCAAGAGAAGGUAAGUAUGAUUUAUAAUUUCGAGAUUCAAAUCCGACCACUAUACUAUACAAUUUGUAAAAUAUUAUGCAGUUUGUUUAUAAGCAAAACAUUUUUCAAGUUUUAUAAAAGUUGUCUUAGACUAUUUUAUCAAAAUUAAUAAAGAUUUGGAUGAUAAAAACCUAAUUAAAACAAAAGACAAUAUUUAGGGAUCUAACAACAACAAAAGAAAAGGUUCGCGGAGAAAGUAAAACUUAAAACUCUUAUAAAUUUGGACCAUUUUUAACCGAUUAUCUAAUCUUUCAGAAAUUUAAUUUUACUAUCCAGCUUUUUAAUUUGUUUAAUAUAUUUGAGCCAAUUAAUGGCACUUUAAUUUAAAAUUUGAAGUUAAAAUAUUCUCUUUUUUUUUUAUCAAAGCAAAAGAGUUACAAGAUAGUGACACGUGUACCUAGUGAUUAUACUACGCGUGCGCCUGACGCUGUGUUGGUACGCCAUGCCACGUAGCGGAUCAACGGCGCUACUGGCGCUGUAAUGUUUGGAAGCGACGCCGACACGGCCGCCGCGGCCCCCUCUCCCCAUCAAUGCAAACAUCGGAUCCCCCCCUCCCCUCCAAAUCGCCACACUUCUUUCACCCACUGGUCACUUGUCUCCCCCACCUCCCUAACGCCAUGUGUCCCUCCCGCUACGAAAAAAUCUAUAUUAUAACACUUAUAUCAUAACCGAUCGUUUCUAGAGUAAGUGACAAAGAAUUUGAUGAUUGAUAUUCAAGAUCUAAGUUUGAAUUUUAAUUGAUUCACAUUUUCAGCUAAGUUUACUGGUAAUAUAAUUGAUAUAUUCUAGACUGUUUUCUUCCCACCUCUCCAGCUUCGCGACAAAUUCAAAUUUUCGAAUCACCGUCUAAAUUUUCACGCCCUCGAGGGGGCCCACACUGCAACUCUCCCCUCCUCCCUACUUUCCCCUUCUCCUCUCUUUAACCCCCCUUGCUUAAGACCAUACGUGCAUUCAAAAAAUAUGUGUUAUAAUUAAAAAGGCAACGAUGAAAAUAACAGUUUUUUUAAAUAUGGAGUCAAAACGAAAGAGAAAAAAAAAAAGAAAUUUUAAAAACGGUCUACGUGGCGACAUGCGAGUCACCGUCGAGUCCAAUAAUCCUACGUGGCGACUCUCAGAUCAUUCUCCCGUUUAAACAAUUUAUUAAUUGUUUAUUCGAUUCAAUACUCCUCGAUUCCCAUACUCUGGAAGCUCCCUCCCUCUAAGGUAUUAAAAACAACCGCAAGGCCAUGGGAUGGGUUACUUCUACUUAUUGCGAGUAGUACAUAGGAAGCAUCCGUGCGCCUGCUCCCUCUUAAAAUUUAAGGAGUCUAUAUAAUUUACCCCUCUUCUUCUUCCUCUUCCUCUUCCUCUUCCUCUAUAUGUAUAUUGCUACUAUAUUUUAAUGGAGAUCUCCGCCUCAGAAGUUGCGUCUCCCCUUCGUCUUGUUCCCCUUCUCCGAAUCCCCCCUAAUUAAAUCCACUCCCUGAGCCCACACCCUCACACUUGGAAACCCUAAUCGAUUUGUUUAGGUUCCUACCGAAGAUUGUGAAGAGAAUGGCGGAGAAGCCGCUGAUGUUGAAGGAUUACCUGGAGAUCGAGAUCGACUCCCAAGCGGAGUCGAGCGACGGGUUCCCCUGCUACCCGCGGCUCGCCGACGCCGCCACCGUGCGCCACCUCCUCGCCGCCGAACUCCGCGGCGGCGCCG